AUUGAACGCUGGCGGCAGGCUUAACACAUGCAAGUCGAGCGGGGAAAGGUAGCUUGCUACCUGACCUAGCGGCGGACGGGUGAGUAAUGCUUAGGAAUCUGCCUAUUAGUGGGGGACAACAUCUCGAAAGGGAUGCUAAUACCGCAUACGUCCUACGGGAGAAAGCAGGGGACCUUCGGGCCUUGCGCUAAUAGAUGAGCCUAAGUCGGAUUAGCUAGUUGGUGGGGUAAAGGCCUACCAAGGCGACGAUCUGUAGCGGGUCUGAGAGGAUGAUCCGCCACACUGGGACUGAGACACGGCCCAGACUCCUACGGGAGGCAGCAGUGGGGAAUAUUGGACAAUGGGGGGAACCCUGAUCCAGCCAUGCCGCGUAUGUGAAGAAGGCCUUUUGGUUGUAAAGCACUUUAAGCGAGGAGGAGGCUACCGAGAUUAAUACUCUUGGAUAGUGGACGUUACUCGCAGAAUAAGCACCGGCUAACUCUGUG
rnacentral:rRNA from 1 species